rnacentral:rRNA from 1 species
UCCGGAGAGGGAGCCUGAGAAACGGCUACCACAUCUAAGGAAGGCAGCAGGCGCGCAAAUUACCCAAUCCUAAUACAGGGAGGUAGUGACAAGAAAUAACAAUACAGGACUUUUUGGUUUUGUAAUUGGAAUGAGUUAAGUAUAAACCCCUUUACAAGUAUCAAUUGGAGGGCAAGUCUGGUGCCAGCAGCCGCGGUAAUUCCAGCUCCAAUAGCGUAUAUUAAAGUUGUUGCAGUUAAAAAGCUCGUAGUUGGAUUUCUGUUAAUAAUUUAUAUAAAAUAUUUUGAAUAUUUAUAUAACAUUAACAUAAUUCAUAUUACUAUAUUUUUUAGUAUAUGAAAUUUUACUUUGAGAAAAUUAGAGUGCUUAAAGCAGGCAUAUGCCACGAAUACUCCAGCAUGGAAUAAUAUUAAAGAUUUUUAUCUUUCUUAUUGGUUCUAAGAUAAGAAUAAUGAUUAAUAGGGACAGUUGGGGGCAUUUGUAUUUAACAGUCAGAGGUGAAAUUCUUAGAUUUGUUAU